UACGAAGGGGGCUAGCGUUGUUCGGAAUCACUGGGCGUAAAGCGCAUGCAGGCGGAUCGCUAAGUCGGGGGUGAAAGCCCGAGGCUCAACCUCGGAACUGCCUUCGAUACUGGCGAUCUUGAGUCCGGGAGAGGUGAGUGGAACUCCGAGUGUAGAGGUGAAAUUCGUAGAUAUUCGGAAGAACACCAGUGGCGAAGGCGGCUCACUGGCCCGGUACUGACGCUGAGAUGCGAAAGCGUGGGGAGCAAAC
rnacentral:rRNA from 1 species